rnacentral:rRNA from 1 species
GACGAACGCGGCGGCGUGCUUAACACAUGCAAGUCGAACGGUAAGGCUCCAGCUUGCUGGGGUACACGAGUGGCGAACGGGUGAGUAACACGUGGGUGACCUGCCCUGCACUUCGGGAUAAGCCUGGGAAACUGGGUCUAAUACCGGAUAGGACCGCACCGUGAGGGUGUGGUGGAAAGUUUUUUCGGUGUGGGAUGGGCCCGCGGCCUAUCAGCUUGUUGGUGGGGUAAUGGCCUACCAAGGCGGCGACGGGUAGCCGGCCUGAGAGGGUGGACGGCCACAUUGGGACUGAGACACGGCCCAGACUCCUACGGGAGGCAGCAGUGGGGAAUAUUGCACAAUGGGCGGAAGCCUGAUGCAGCGACGCCGCGUGGGGGAUGACGGCCUUCGGGUUGUAAACUCCUUUCACCAUCGACGAAGGGUUUCUGACGGUAGAUGGAGAAGAAGCACCGGCUAACUACGUGCCAGCAGCCGCGGUAAUACGUAGGGUGCGAGCGUUGUCCGGAAUUACUGGGCGUAAAGAGCUCGUAGGUGGUUUGUCGCGUCGUCUGUGAAAUUCCGGGGCUUAACUCCGGGCGUGCAGGCGAUACGGGCAUAACUUGAGUACUGUAGGGGAGACUGGAAUUCCUGGUGUAGCGGUGAAAUGCGCAGAUAUCAGGAGGAACACCGGUGGCGAAGGCGGGUCUCUGGGCAGUAACUGACGCUGAGGAGCGAAAGCAUGGGGAGCGAACAGG